rfam:Glycine max cultivar Williams 82 chromosome 9, whole genome shotgun sequence.
AUACCUUUCUCGGCCUUUUUUGGCUAAAAUUAAGUGUAGUAUUUGUUCUUAUCAGUUUAAUAUCUGAUAUGUGGAUCAGUGUGCCUCUUUCAAUAUAAAGUAGUGGAAAAUUCU